CUCAACCAUUUUUUGUAUUUUUAUUUUCAAGCCAUGGGAUAUAUCUAAAGAGCAAACUAAAAACAAUAUAUUAUCCACAAGGUAGUGUGACUUACUGUAGCUUUAGUUAAAAUAAGUAUUGAUGGCUUGAGGGCGAUAGUGUUGCGUAAAACUGUGGUGCCCCCACCUCCCUGUAUGCUUGAGUAAUUAUAACUUAAAAAAUUUAUAGUUAAAUUAAUAUUUCAUAUAUGUCAAUUUGAUAUUUUUAACUUGUAUGUAUGCCAUCGUCUUGUGUCCAUGGGUGCUCGAGCGAAGGAUCCUUGUAAUUCCUUGAAAUAAAAGCAUAUGUCUUAAAUGACGGAUUGCUCUGAGAUGAGAAUACGUUAAUGGUUUACUCUGGAGGCAAUCACCAACCUCUGUGUUAUGUAAACAACACUUCAAGCCAGAAGAUCUCCAAGUGGCAAUACAAACUCUAGCUUUCGUGGGGGGAAAAGAAUAUCCGGAUAUAGAAAGAGAUGCAGUCUCAUCCCCUUUUCUUUGGUCACAAAUAAGUAAAAUCCGGUUGAGGAAAAUCAUCGUUUGAUCAACAUUGAAAAUGAAUGGUAACAUAAUUACUGAGCGUAUUUUAAGUCCAACACAAGACGAAGAUGACCCAUCAGAUCCGUUAACAACAAAUAGUUAAUAUGUUCUCACUACCUGUACCAAAGAAGACCUCCUUCGACCUAUAUUAUGUAUCCCAAAAUUUUUUAAUAAUCCAUCAAGUAGAUUAAUAAAAUAAUAUUUAUCAUGGGAUAUUCUAUAGAAGGAUACUACAGAUGUAUUUUAAAUCAGCAUCGGUUGCCAGAUUGGUAUAGAAACUAUGUCUGGGAUCCCGACAACUUGGCCUCUGAAGUCACCGUUUCGUUGAUAAGAGAAACUACGCUUUAUUAGAUCGGAUUUCCUCCCACCUGUCCUUGUGCCUCGUUUGUUGAGUUCUGUUCUCAACGCCAAUAAAGUCCAGUUUGAAUGCA
rnacentral:lncRNA from 1 species